CAGUGAGGAAUAUUGGUCAAUGGGCGCAAGCCUGAACCAGCCAUCCCGCGUGCAGGAAGACGGCGCUAUGCGUUGUAAACUGCUUUUCCAGGGAGAGAAACUUGCGCACGUGUUGCGCAAUUAACGGUACCCUGGGAAUAAGCAUCGGCUAACUCCGUGCCAGCAGCCGCGGUAAUACGGAGGAUGCGAGCGUUAUCCGGAUUCAUUGGGUUUAAAGGGUGCGUAGGCGGACUAUUAAGUCAGUGGUGAAAUCCUGCAGCUUAACUGCAGAACUGCCAUUGAUACUGAUAGCCUUGAGUUUGGUUAAGGUAGGCGGAAUGUGUAAUGUAGCGGUGAAACGCUUAGAUAUUACACAGAACACCAAUUGCGUAGGUAGCUUACUGAGCCGACACUGACGCUGAGGCACGAAAGCGUGGGGAUCGAACAG
rnacentral:rRNA from 1 species